rnacentral:rRNA from 1 species
GAUGAACGCUGGCGGCAUGCCUUACACAUGCAAGUCGAACGGCAGCACGGGUGCUUGCACCUGGUGGCGAGUGGCGAACGGGUGAGUAAUACAUCGGAACGUACCUUAUCGUGGGGGAUAACGCAGCGAAAGCUGUGCUAAUACCGCAUACGCCCUGAGGGGGAAAGCGGGGGAUCGAAAGACCUCGCGCGAUUAGAGCGGCCGAUGCCUGAUUAGCUUGUUGGUGGGGUAAAAGCCCACCAAGGCGACGAUCAGUAGCUGGUCUGAGAGGACGAUCAGCCACACUGGGGCUGAGACACGGCCCAGACUCCUACGGGAGGCAGCAGUGGGGAACUUUGGACAAUGGGGGCAACCCUGAUCCAGCAAUGCCGCGUGAGUGAAGAAGGCCUUCGGGUUGUAAAGCUCUUUUGUCAGGGAAGAAACACCGGCUCUAACACAGUCCGGGAAUGACGGUACCUGAAGAAUAAGCACCGGCUAACUACGUGCCAGCAGCCGCAGUAA